CUCUGGGGUGUGGUGGGACUGGGGCGUCGUGAGGUGAGAGUGAGAGAGUGCGUGUGGCUGUGGUGUGCGAACCCACCCGGCCCACUGGAAAAGGCAAAACCGGGAAAGGACUACGGAUAAAGCUGGGAAGGACUACGGGCGCCAUGCGCCUGGCCCCCGCUGCCGGUAUCAGCUAUCAGCACACAUGCAGCCGGAGCGGGGACCAUGGGUCGUCUCCCACCCCCCCAGUCCCCACAGCCCACAUGCACGCGCCUCCGCUGCGGCACAUUGGGCAGCGCGCCGCAGCCGGGCCCGCCGCACCAACCAGAGAGACGACCGGGAUGUUCACGGGUCGCCCGUCCCAUCGCCGCCGGCGGAGCCGGACUGGGACUGGGAGGGGUGCUUGUCCAUGUCGCCAAUUUGCCAUAGACGUGCACAGCCGGUACCGUGGAUGGAAAGAAGCAAACGAACCAACCAAGCUCCUCACUGUUGCAGCAGUUGUGUUCUUCGUGUCAUGUCGGGGUCGGGAGUGAGCAGGGCAGGAGGCAGUGAGCAGAGCAGCAGCCCGUAGACCCACCGCCGCAUUCACGGCACCAUGCGUCGCUGUUGGGUACAGUGUGCGUCCGGGGCCGGCGGUCACGUCACAUCAUCGGCGCGGCGGUGUCGAGAGGCCAGGCGAGGCUCUCUGAUCUCUCUGGAUUCUGGUCGGCGACGGCGAGCGAUCAGGUGGCUGUGGCGAGCGGCGACCCGAGUGGCAGUGGGCUGCUGCCUGCUGGUGCAUGUGGCAGGGCCAGGGGCGGGGGCAGUGAUCCACCCCUGGAUUUUGCGCGCCCGCGCCUUGUAGUCCUUUGCCGGACUCGUAGCUUUCAAGGAUCGCCGGGAAGAUCUCGCGGCACGCCUGCUCUGCUGGGUGCUGGCGAUUGCUGCUGGGCGGGCUCACUCACGCCCAGCCCCUUGCGGAAACCAGUUUUUGCGUCGAGCGAAUCUCGCGGCGGCGACGGCGAGCGGGAGCGGGGGCGCGGUUGAGCCGUCGCCGUGCCGCUGGAUGCUGGGCCAAACGCCGCGAGCGGCUCCGAAGAUGCGACGAAACGCCGGGAGGUUUGUUUAGGUUGCGUCAUUUCAGGUAUCUACCUCCCGUUACGACCAGACACUGCUACGACCGAAAACGCGCCGUCCCGUCCCGUUCUUUCUCACCAGAAGAGGAAACACAACGCAUCCAUCAGAGAUCAGAACGAUCGGACACAUGCCGUGGGAAGAGCGUGGAACCUGGAACGCGUGGCUGGGGGACGUCCUCAGGCUCAGCCAGUGUGGCCGUUCUUUUUUUUUUGUUUAGUUUGUAGAAUGGAACGAGUUAAUCCAUCAUUACAUUAUUUCUCAUAGUUAGUUAGUAUUAAUAUUAGAAAUUAUGUUAUACCACAUAAUUUGAGUAAUGAAUUCAUGAUGCACCACUUUAUUUUGGAUGAAGUGGUUUUUUAAA